UUAACGACAAACAACGAGUUUAUAAUUUUCCAAUACAAGAUAGAAGCUUAUAAAAAGCGUGAAAAUGGUUACACAUUUUUCCAAAAUAUUGUUAUGGAUAACUGUUCUUUAUUUUAAAGCAUUACCAUGUGUAUCACAAAGUAGUUUCCGAGGAACGUAUUAUUCCGGCAAUUAUAAUUCCGAAAAUGACGAGACUGAUUACAAUGCAGGAGCAUCUGAUUCUGUACAUGGUCCGGGAUCCACAGUCAGGCGUUUGAUAUAUGCAGUAAUAGUAACAGUCUGUGGCUUAUUUCUUUCUGGAUUUAUAUUCUUCUUAAUAAAACUGUGCAGUCGUAAUUAUAUACUACAAAGAAGAGAAAAUAGAAGGAACAUAAUGAUGUUACCUCUAAAUGAUAUCGACGAACAGUAACAAAACUGGCGAAAGAGUAAUGAUAGAGAAGUUCUUGAUAGCAGUUCUGUACUAACUUUCUUUACAACUUUGGAAGACUCGGAAAUAUUAAAAGCGUUCAAAUGUA